rnacentral:rRNA from 1 species
UACGAAUGGGGCAAGCGUUGUUCGGAAUCACUGGGCUUAAAGCGUGCGCAGGCGGUCUUGCAAGUCAGGAGUGAAAUCCCGGGGCUUAACCCCGGAAUUGCUUUUGAAACUGCAAGACUAGAAUAUGGGAGAGGUUAGCAGAAUUCCGAGUGUAGAGGUGAAAUUCGCAGAUAUUCGGAGGAAUACCAGUGGCGAAGGCGGCUAACUGGACCAUUAUUGACGCUCAGGCACGAAAGCGUGGGGAGCAAACGGG